CAGUGGGGAAUAUUGCACAAUGGGCGCAAGCCUGAUGCAGCAACGCCGCGUGGGGAUGACGGCCUUCGGGUUUUAAACCUCUUUUGGUAGGGAAGAAGCCUUCGGGCGCCGGUACCUGCGGAACAAGGCCCUGCUAACUACGUGCCAGCAGCCUCGGUAAUACGUAGGGUCCGAGCGUUUUCCGGGAUUAUUGGGCGUAAAGAGCUCGUAGGCGGUUCGUCGCGUCUGCCGUGAAAUCCUCAGGCUCAACCUGAGGCGUGCGGUGGGUACGGGCGGGCUAGAGUGCGGUAGGGGAGAAUGGAACUCCUGGUGUAGCAGUGGAAUGCGCAGAUAUCAGGAAGAACACCGAUGGCGAAGGCAGUUCUCUGGGCCGUAACUGACGCUGAGGAGCGAAAGCGUGGGGAGCGAACAGGAUUAGA
rnacentral:rRNA from 1 species